rnacentral:misc_RNA from 1 species
GCUCCGUAGGUGAACCUGCGGAGGGAUCAUUACAGAGUUCAUGCCCUACCGGGUAGAUCUCCCACCCUAUGUUAUUAUUACUUUGUUGCUUUGGCGGGCCGUUAGGCUCCGGCCCGACUACCGGCCCCGGCUGGUAAGCGCCCGCCAGAGGACCCAAAACCCUGAAUAUUAGUGUCGUCUGAGUACUAUAUAAUAGUUAGAACUUUCAACAACGGAUCUCUUGGUUCUG